GUCGCUUCUCGGCCUUCGGCUAAGAUCACGUGGGGUGUCCGUUCUUACCGGUUUAGUACCCGGCAUGUGCUGCCUCUGAGGGCAGCAUAUAAGUGGAGUUUUGGAGCAGGGAGAGGGAAGAGGAGCUGGCCCCGUCCGCUCCACGCGCCGACCUGGCAUUGCAGGGGCUGCAGGCACGGUGCACCCCCU